GANNGGUAGUUCAGUUGGUUAGAAUACCGGCCUGUCACGCCGGGGGUCGCGGGUUCGAGCCCCGUCCGCUGCGCCA
rnacentral:tRNA from 1 species